rnacentral:lncRNA from 1 species
GUAAUUAUUAAUAGUAAAAAAUAAAAUAAUGAAUAUUGUUAAAUAAAAAUAAUAAAUAUAUAUAAAAUUAACUAAUUAAUUAAUUUCUUACAAUUAUAGACAAUGACAUUUCCAUUAACCCUGUCUGAGUGACACGUCGUGAGGCCAUUACGUCACAUGAUCAACGGCUGUUUGUCAACAGAUGACAUUGCACCCUCAACGUUUGUUUUUUUUAUAAUAGGUUGAUAUUUAGCUCAAGAAUUAUCUGUAAAUACAAAAUUUGUACAUAUAACAAUCCUGUUCAUUCGUAGUUAUCUGUUUGUUUACAUAUUAACUUUUUUGUUGUUGUUUAUUCGGUUUUAAGCUUAAGGUUAAUUUGUCCGUUGUUGAGAAAAGACAGCCAAACAGGUUUGGAACAAGUGAAUGAGUUCUCUACAGUCAACUGACAACUACAUAACACUUACACAUUCUGUCCCUCAAAAAUAAGGUACGUGUUCUUGCAGCUUAAAAAAAAUGUACCUGAUAGUGGAGUUCAUUCACGAAGGGAGUACCGGACCUGUCGCAAAGUCUUGGUACUCAGAGGGUCACUCGUGGUGGCCUCCAUACAAGGAGAUAGACAGGGUGUUGAAGAGUGUCCGGUUGAUGGAGGCACCACAACCAGAUAAAGGUUGGACCAAGCAUCAGGCCAGAAUU